rnacentral:rRNA from 1 species
AACUCCAGUAGCGUAUAUUAAAGUUGCUGCAGUUAAAAAGCUCGUAGUUGAAAUUCUGCUCCGGUAGGUUAGUAUUCCUUUCGGUUUAUUACACCUCCGGGCAUCAGUCUGCAAUCUUUUUCACGGCAUUCACUUGUCGGGCUAGGGAGCAGACGCUUUACCUUGAGAAAAUUAGAGUGUUCCAGGCAGGCUUCAGCCCGAAUACAUUAGCAUGGAAUAAUAGAAUAGGACUAGAGACUAUUUAUUGGUUUAAGGCUCUAGUAAUGAUUAAUAGGAACAGUCGGGGGCAUUAGUACUUAACAGUCAGAGGUGAAAUUCUAGGAUUUGUUAAAGACUAACUAAUGCGAAAGCAUUUGCCAAGCAUGUUUUCA